rnacentral:rRNA from 1 species
UACAGAGGUCUCAAGCGUUGUUCGGAUUCAUUGGGCGUAAAGGGUGCGUAGGUGGCGUCGUAAGUCAGGUGUGAAAUUUCGGAGCUUAACUCCGAAACUGCAUUUGAUACUGCGGUGCUUGAGGACUGGAGAGGAGACUAGGAUUUAACGGUGUAGCAGUGAAAUGCGCAGAUAUCAGGAGGAACACCGGUGGCGAAGGCGGGUCUCUGGGCCGAUACUGACGCUGAGGAGCGAAAGCGUGGGGAGCGAACAGG